AACGAACGCUGGCGGCAUGCCUAACACAUGCAAGUCGAACGAGACCUUCGGGUCUAGUGGCGCUCGGGUGCGUAACGCGUGGGAACCUGCCCUUAGGUUCGGAAUAACUCCCCGAAAGGGGUGCUAAUACCGGAUAAUGUCUUCGGACCAAAGAUUUAUCGCCUUUGGAUGGGCCCGCGUUGGAUUAGCUAGUUGGUAGGGUAAAAGCCUACCAAGGCGACGAUCCAUAGCUGGUCUGAGAGGAUGAUCAGCCACACUGGGACUGAGACACGGCCCAGACUCCUACGGGAGGCAGCAGUGGGGAAUAUUGGACAAUAGGCGAAAGCCUGAUCCAGCAAUGCCGCGUGAGUGAUGAAGGCCUUAGGGUUGUAAAGCUCUUUUACCCGGGAUGAUAAUGACAGUACCGGGAGAAUAAGCUCCGGCUAACUCCGUG
rnacentral:rRNA from 1 species